rnacentral:lncRNA from 1 species
GCCAUUCAAGGGAACUACCUAUGAAGAUUUGGACGUUCAAGCAGCUCACAUCCCAUGCAAAUUAGGCCUUCACAAGUCCAAUAGGUGGCCGGCCAUAUGAAGCUUGCUUGGGGGUUUAGUCUUGAAGAGUUUUGGUUGAAAUAAAUCAAAGGAGGAUAAUUGAUGCGAAGCACUUGCAUAGUCAGCCAUAAGAGAGGAUUUAUUAAGAUUAAAUUCUUAUUUUAAAUGUAAUAUUUACAUUAAUGCUUUAAUUUUAUUGGCUAGAACACAAUGUUUUUAGUGGUUAGAGAGUGCUUU